GACGUAGGAUGCAAGCGUUGUCCGGAAUUAUUGGGCGUAAAGCGUACGUAGGCGGUUUUCUAAGUCUGGGGUUAAAGACCGAGGCUCAACCUCGGGAGUGCCCUGGAAACUGGAAGGCUGGAGGACGGCAGAGGAAAGUGGAAUUCCCAGUGUAGCGGUGAAAUGCGUAGAUAUUGGGAGGAACACCAGUGGCGAAAGCGACUUUCUGGGCCGUUCCUGACGCUGAGGUACGAAAGCUAGGGGAGCAAACGGG
rnacentral:ncRNA from 3 species